rnacentral:rRNA from 1 species
UACGUAGGGUGCAAGCGUUAAUCGGAAUUACUGGGCGUAAAGCGUGCGCAGGCGGUUUUGUAAGUCUGACGUGAAAUCCCCGGACUUAACCUGGGAAUUGCGUUGGAGACUGCAAGGCUGGAGUCUGGCAGAGGGGGGUAGAAUUCCACGUGUAGCAGUGAAAUGCGUAGAGAUGUGGAGGAACACCGAUGGCGAAGGCAGCCCCCUGGGUCAAGACUGACGCUCAUGCACGAAAGCGUGGGGAGCAAAUAGG